rnacentral:tRNA from 1 species
UGGACCCGUGGUGCACCCGGUGGUGGCUCGGCGUGUUCCAGACGUACUCGACCCAACGUGGCAGCGUGCCGAUCGCCUCGGUGUGGAUCCAG